rnacentral:rRNA from 1 species
CGCAGCCGCGGUAAUUCCAGCUCCAAUAGCGUAUAUUAAAGUUGCUGCAGUUAAAAAGCUCGUAGUUGAAUUUCGGGACCAUCAUGUUGGUCGUGCCUCGGUACGUACUGGCAUUGUUGGUUUCUCCCUUCUGACGAACCGUGAUGUCAUUUAUUUGGUGUCGUGGGAAAUCAGGACUGUUACUUUGAAAAAUUAGAGUGUUUAAAGCAGGCUCACGCUUGAAUACAUUAGCAUGGAAUAAUGAAAUAGGACGUUUGAUUCUAUUUUGUUGGUUUCUAGGAUCGACGUAAUGAUUAAUAGGGAUAGUUGGGGGCAUUAGUAUUCAAUUGUCAGAGGUGAAAUUCUUGGAUUUAUUGAAGACUAACUACUGCGAAAGCAUUUGCCAAGGAUGUUUUCAUUAAUACAAGAACGAAAGUUAGGGGAUCGAAGACGAUCAGAUACCGUCGUAGUCUUAACCAU